rnacentral:lncRNA from 1 species
CUCUGGGAACCAAUAAUGAAGAGAAAUGUGGGAAGUGGUGUCUCUAAAAUAGAUGUUCAAUAAUAAAUACUUAAAAUGUUAAGUCUUUUUUUUGAGAUGGAGUUUCGCUCUUGUUGCCUAGGCUGGAGUGCAGUGGCGUGAUCUCGGCUCACUGCAACCUCUGCCUCCCGAGUUCAAGCGAUACUUCUGCCUCAGCCUCCCGAGUAGCUGGGAUUACAGGUGCCCACCACCAUGCCCUGCUAAUUUUUUGUAUUUUCAGUAGAGACGGGGUUUUACCAUGUUGGCCAGGCUGGUCUCGAACUCCUGACCUCAGAUGAUCCACCCGUCUCAGCCUCCCAAAGUGCUGGGAUUAUAGGCAUGAGCCACCAUGCCCAGCCCUUAUUCUUGAGUUGAAUACUGAACAAUGAAUAAAUGGAUAAAUGACAAUGUUGCCACUGCACUGCCUUACUACUUCCUUUAAUGAGCAGUACAGUGGGGCAAAACACUCUUUUGGCUGACAAAUAGCAUUUUAAUGUAAUAGGAUCUGAAAUUGAAGUUUAGAGCGACUUACUAUGCCGGUAAUUGUGGAUCAAGGUAUACUUUGGAAAGGCUUUACUGUAGUUAACCUAACAUAAAGUUAUUGAUAAGUAUAAUUAUAUUAAGCCUCCAACACUAGGGACACACAGAACACAAUAAAUUUUUUUUUUUUUUUUUUUUUUUUGAGACUGAGUGUCGCUCUGUUACCAGGCUGGAGUGUAAUGGCACAAUCUCAGCUCACUGUAACCUCCGCCUCCCAGGUUCAAGCGAUUCUCCUGCCUCAGCCUUCCAAGCAGCUGAGACUACAGGCGCUACAGGCACUACAGGUGCUACAGGCGCACGCCACCACACCCAGCUAAUUUUUUUUUUUUUUUUUUGGUAAUCUUAGUAGAGACGGGGGGGUUUCACCAUGUUGGCCGGGAUGGUCUCGAUCUCUUGACCUUGUGAUCCGCCUGCCUCAGCCUCCCAAAGUGCUGGGAUUACAGGCAUGAGCCACCGUGCCCGGCCAAAAGGGAAGAUUUUAUAAAAAUCUAGACAAGUAAGAUGCAAGACAAAAAAAAAGAAAAGAAAAGAAAAGAAAAUUAGACCAUCAAAGAUUAUGACUUACAGGCUGAUCCAAAGGUAGUGGGUUACCUCAACUGAUUGUUCACAGUCAGUUAUAGAUUGAACUCCUUGUUCUACUUUUUUCCCCAUUCCUUACUACUGCACUUGACUAGUCUUAAAGAAAAAAAAUCAUGACUUACAGAUUUUUGGAUUUCCUUUAAUAGGAAACUUCACAACCAUUUCCUGAGGAUUUUUGCAGAUGAAAACAAAUGGAGAAUCAGACUCUUGACUGAUGUCUGGAAACUGUGAAAUAUAAAAAUAAAAAGUUCAGGAUAGUUGGGACAAGCUUUGAAUUUAAGGAGAACAGAAGAUGUCCCAGAUUUCACCUCAACAUUCUGAU